rnacentral:rRNA from 1 species
GACGAACGCUGGCGGCGUGCCUAACACAUGCAAGUCGAACGGAGCUGUUUUGGACGGAGACUUCGGUCAAAGACCAUAACAGCUUAGUGGCGGACGGGUGAGUAACGCGUGAGUAACCUGCCGUUCAGAGGGGGACAACAGUUGGAAACGACUGCUAAUACCGCAUAAGCGCACAGCUUCGCAUGAUACAGUGUGAAAAACUCCGGUGGUAUAAGAUGGACCCGCGUCUGAUUAGCUAGUUGGUGAGGUAACGGCCCACCAAGGCGACGAUCAGUAGCCGGCCUGAGAGGGUGAACGGCCACAUUGGGACUGAGACACGGCCCAAAACUCCUACGGGAGGCAGCAGUGGGGAAUAUUGCACAAUGGGGGAAACCCUGAUGCAGCGACGCCGCGUGAGUGAUGAAGUAUUUCGGUAUGUAAAACUCUAUCAGCAGGGAAGAUAAUGACGGUACCUGACUAAGAAGCACCGGCUAAAUACGUAG